rnacentral:rRNA from 1 species
GACGAACGCUGGCGGCGUGCCUAAUACAUGCAAGUCGAGCGAAGUUUUUCUGGUGCUUGCACUAGAAAAACUUAGCGGCGAACGGGUGAGUAACACGUAAAGAACCUGCCUCAUAGACUGGGACAACUAUUGGAAACGAUAGCUAAUACCGGAUAACAGUAUUUCUCGCAUGAGAGAUAUUUAAAAGUUGGUUAUGCUAACACUAUGAGAUGGCUUUGCGGUGCAUUAGCUAGUUGGUGGGGUAAAGGCCCACCAAGGCGACGAUGCAUAGCCGACCUGAGAGGGUGAUCGGCCACACUGGGACCGAGACACGGCCCAGACUCCUACGGGAGGCAGCAGUAGGGAAUCUUCCGCAAUGGGCGAAAGCCUGACGGAGCAACGCCGCGUGAGUGAAGAAGGAUUUCGGUUCGUAAAGCUCUGUUGUUAGGGAAGAAUGGAUAUGUAGUAACUAUACAUGUAAGAGACGGUACCUAAACAGAAAGCCACGGCUAACUACGUG